rnacentral:pre_miRNA from 1 species
GGAAGCCAUUAGCGAGUUACCCUGUAGACCCGGGCUUUUGUAGACCCGAAAGAGUCAGAAGCUCGUUUCUACAGGUUUCUCGAUGAUGUGUGCCA